rnacentral:rRNA from 1 species
AACGAACGCUGGCGGCAUGCCUAACACAUGCAAGUCGAACGAGACCUCCGGGACUAGUGGCGCACGGGUGCGUAACGCGUGGGAACCUGCCUUUAGGCUUGGAAUACUACAGAGUAAUUUGAGCUAACACCGGAAGAUGUCUUCGGACCAAAGAUUUAUCGUCCUUGGAUGGGCACGCGUUGGCUUAGCCAGUUGGGGGGGUAAGGGCCUAUCAAGGAGUCGAUCCAUAGCUGGUCUGAGAGGAUGAGCAGCCACUCUUGGUCUGGGACACGGCCCAGACUCCUGCGCGAUGGAGCAGUGCGUAAUAUUGGACUAUGGGGUAAGGCCUGAUCGCGCAAUGCCGCGUGAGCGAUGAUGUCCUUAGAGAUGUAAAGCUCUCUUACCCGAGAUUAUAAUGACAGUACCGGGAGAAUAAGCUCCGGCUAACUCCGUG